GCUUCAGGCAAUUGGCAUAAAUAACCUUCAAAAGUUUAAAAUACAGGGGGAAAGGAAAAGAAAGAAAGAAAAAAAGAAUUUAACACAAAAGCCACAUACCCUACCCUGUUAAACCCGAGAGCUUGUCUGUGAGACCAGAUAAAGCUUGUUCUUUAAGGGUGUAGGUAGCUGUUUUUACACUGGAACUGUAAAAUGAAACUACAAUUCAGAAGGGAUCUCACGGCCAGCGAGUACGGAUCAUCGACUGCCUGAUGGGACAAGGACGGUGUCCUGGGGUCAUCUUUGUGGUCCGGAACCCUAGUCUUUGACUGAAAGAACUUGUAAAAACAAUGGAGGUUAAAUGGGAAAUUAAAACAUACCUGAAGCAGGUUUCUUGGUUCAAAUCUU